AUCACUUCUCGGCCUUUUGGCUAAGAUCAAGUGUAGUAUCUGUUCUUAACAGUUUAAAAUAGUAUGUUCCAGACCCUGGCUGCUGAAAUGUAUCUCUCAAUCUCU
rnacentral:snRNA from 1 species